GACGAACGCUGGCGGCGUGCCUAAUACAUGCAAGUAGGACGCAGUUGCGAACGGGGGAGUAACGCGUAGGUAACUACCUAUUAGAGGGGGAUAACUAUUGGAAACGAUAGCUAAUACCGCAUACUAGUAGAUGGACCUGCGUUGUAUUAGCCAGUAGGUAGGGUAAUGGCCUACCUGGGCAACGAUACAUAGCCGACGUGGGAGGGGGAUCGGCCACACUGGGAAGGGGAAAAGGGCCAGACUCCUACGGGAGGCAGCAGUAGGGGAGCUUCGGCAAUUGGGGGAACCCUGAACGAGCCACGCCGCGUGAGUUAAGAAGGGUUUCGGAUCGUAAAGCUCUGUUGUUAAGGAAGCGGUACUUAACGAGAAAGGGACGGCUAACUACGUGCCAGCAGCCGCGGUAAUAC
rnacentral:rRNA from 1 species